UGAAGUUAUUUUUUUGUAAUCUUAAAACCUCUUCAUCAUCCUUUCAAGUUGCGGUCGCCGGGCCUUCCUUUGCCAUUGUUUUCGGCCGCCUUCGUCGGCCUUUCCUUUGCCACUUUUUUCGGCCGCCUUCGUCGGACCUUCCUUUGCCACUAUUUUUUGCCGCCGUCGCUAGACCUUUCACCACUAUUGUCGGUCACUACGAAGCUGAACAGAAAACAAAGAUCAAUCCCUGUUUCCGCAUGCCACAGUGGGCUUCCUUUUUUGCUAAAUCAAGAGGAAAUUCAAGAACUAAAGCUUCUUACUAAAUGGAAGAGAAAGAAAGGUGAAUUUAUAGGAAUCUUAGUUUCAAUCAGCUGACAUUCUUUGAUGUAGAGUUGGAAAAUUUGAUAAGAGUUCAAAUCUUGUUAUCAGAUACUAGCAGACUACACUAAGUACAUACUCUUAACAAAAAUGAAAGGUUGAAUAAAGUGAAAGAAAAUGAGGAGCUUGCAAAUAUGGGGCUGGACUAUAUUAUUGGGUUGAUACCCGGAGAGUUCCUGACUAUUUACCAGUGGGUAUUUUGUUUCUUACUUUCAUUAAUGGUAAUUAAUUAUGUUUGCUUAUAUUGUCUGUUGCCUUGUAGUAAUAUGUUAUUGUGAAAUGUCUCAGCUAUGUAUAGUUUGGACUAGACUGACAUUUGUUAUCUAAUUUAUGUGUUAAUGACAAAAAGGAACCUAGAUGACAUUGAAUAGGACCUUAUAUAUAGAACUAACAUUUUAUAUUGCAUUGUCUAACAUCAUUCCUAACCUUAUAUCAGAUACUGAUAAGUAGAUUGCCCAAGUCUGUCUUUCUGGUCAACAUUUUUCUCUCUCAAGACCUUCUUUUAGGAUGUCUAGUUGUGUGUAUUUACACUGCAUGCAAAUGAAUCGCUGCCUAUUUGUUUAGCCUUGCUUCAAAUUAGAAGUAUAGGUCCAUUGUUUCCAAAAAGUGAUUCUUAAGUUCAAUAGAUUAAAAUUGCAUAUGUAUUUACUAGAAACCUUUUGUUGCAGUUACAUUGUAUUCUAUUUACAAUACUACUAUAUAAUAUAAUACAUGCUAUUUUAAAAUUUUAAAAUAGUGUACUGUUUCUUCUGCCUUAAUAACUACUUUUUCUAUUAUGUGCCUUAACAUAAUUGUAAGGCUUUAAAAGUUUAGCAUAUAACUGCAUUUUAACUCUGGUUUACUAUGUUCAAAUCUAUGGAGUGAUUAUUGAAGCAAAGACUCAUGGAUAGAACAAGUUCAUCUUCAAAACCAUGGCGUGAUUAUUGAAGCAAGGACUCCUGGAUAGAACAAGUUCAACUACCUUUCUUUAUGACAUUGCAGCAAACGACCAUUUCUUUAUGAGGAUUUAAUGGACUUGGAUGCUUCUGCAGUAGUUGUAGUUUUUUGGUCUUUGUGUCUAUUAUGUGUAUUUGAGUUAAUGUUUUAAGAUUUUACUAACACAACU